rnacentral:rRNA from 1 species
AUACGGAGGGUGCAAGCGUUACUCGGAAUCACUGGGCGUAAAGCGCGCGCAGGCGGCUAUUUAAGUUGGAUGUGAAAGCCUACGGCUCAACCGUAGAACUGCAUCCAGAACUAUUUAGCUAGAGUGUGGGAGAGGAAGAUGGAAUUAGUUGUGUAGGGGUAAAAUCCGUAGAGAUAACUAGGAAUACCAAAAGCGAAGGCAAUCUUCUGGAACAUUACUGACGCUGAGGCGCGAAAGCGUGGGGAGCAAACAGGAUUAGAAACCCUAGUAGUCC